AGAGUUUGAUCAUGGCUCAGAUUGAACGCUGGCGGAAUGCUUUACACAUGCAAGUCGAACGAUGAACCUUAGCUUGCUAAGGGGAUUAGUGGCGAACGGGUGAGUAAUAUAUCGGAACGUGCCUUGUAAUGGGGGAUAACUAGUCGAAAGAUUAGCUAAUACCGCAUACGCCCUGAGGGGGAAAGUAGGGGAUCUUCGGACCUUACGUUAUAAGAGCGGCCGAUAUCUGAUUAGCUAGUUGGUGGGGUAAUGGCCUACCAAGGCGACGAUCAGUAGCUGGUCUGAGAGGACGACCAGCCACACUGGAACUGAGACACGGUCCAGACUCCUACGGGAGGCAGCAGUGGGGAAUUUUGGACAAUGGGCGCAAGCCUGAUCCAGCCAUUCCGCGUGAGUGAAGAAGGCCUUCGGGUUGUAAAGCUCUUUCGCAAGGGAAGAAAACUUACCAUCGAAUAAAUGGUGAGGCUGACGGUACCUUGAUAAGAAGCACCGGCUAACUACGUGCCAGCAGCCGCGGUAAUACGUAGGGUGCGAGCGUUAAUCGGAAUUACUGGGCGUAAAGCGUGCGCAGGCGGUUUGGCAAGUCAGAUGUGAAAUCCCCGAGCUCAACUUGGGAACUGCGUUUGAAACUGCCAGACUAGAAUAUGUCAGAGGGGGGUAGAAUUCCACGUGUAGCAGUGAAAUGCGUAGAGAUGUGGAGGAAUACCAAUGGCGAAGGCAGCCCCCUGGGAUAAUAUUGACGCUCAUGCACGAAAGCGUGGGGAGCAAACAGGAUUAGAUACCCUGGUAGUCCACGCCCUAAACGAUGUCUACUAGUUGUUGGUGGAGUAAAAUCCAUGAGUAACGCAGCUAACGCGUGAAGUAGACCGCCUGGGGAGUACGGUCGCAAGAUUAAAACUCAAAGGAAUUGACGGGGCCCGCACAAGCGGUGGAUUAUGUGGAUUAAUUCGAUGCAACGCGAAAACCUUACCUGGCCUUGACAUGCCACUACGAAGCAGAGAUGCAUUAGUGCCCGUAGGAAAGUGGACCAGGUGCUGCAUGGCUGUCGUCAGCUCGUGUCUGAGAUGUUGGGUAAGUCCCGCCACGAGCGCACCCUGCCAUAUGCCAUCAUUUAGUGGCACUUAUGGACUGCCGGUGACAACCGGAGAAGGUGGGGGAAUGAACCCUCCAGAGUUCUCCUAUGCCCUUAUGAGCGCAGCGGCUUCACG
rnacentral:rRNA from 1 species